CAGCCGCCACGGGAAUACGGAGGGGGCUAGCGUUGUUCGGAAUUACUGGGCGUAAAGGGCGCGUAGGCGGCCAUUCAAGUUAGAUGUGAAAGCCCUGGGCUCAACCUAGGAAUUGCAUUUGGUACUGUUUGGCUUGAGUUCGGGAGAGGUGAGUGGAAUUCCCAGUGUAGAGGUGAAAUUCGUAGAUAUUGGGAAGAACACCGGUGGCGAAGGCGGCGACCUGGUCCUUGACUGACGCUGAGGCGCGAAAGCGUGUGGAGCAAACAGGAUUAGAUACCCCUGUAGUCCCUGUCUCUUAUAC
rnacentral:rRNA from 1 species